AGAAAAGAAUCCGACUGGGAGUGGAGCUGGCUUCUACGGUGGCCGGAGAGGGACGCACCGGGCCGGAGGCUGCAGGAUGAUGCGAUUCAUGCUACUGUUCAGCCGGCAGGGAAAACUUCGGCUACAAAAAUGGUACCUGGCCACCUCAGACAAGGAGAGGAAGAAAAUGGUCCGAGAGCUCAUGCAGGUCGUUCUGGCUCGAAAGCCCAAAAUGUGCAGCUUCCUGGAGUGGAGGGACCUCAAAGUUGUCUAUAAGAGAUAUGCCAGUCUCUAUUUCUGCUGCGCCAUCGAAGGCCAAGACAAUGAGCUGAUCACCCUGGAGCUGAUCCACCGAUACGUAGAGCUCUUGGACAAGUACUUCGGCAGCGUAUGCGAGUUGGACAUCAUCUUCAACUUUGAGAAAGCGUACUUCAUCCUGGAUGAGUUUCUGAUGGGCGGGGACGUCCAGGACACAUCCAAGAAGAGUGUCCUCAAGGCUAUCGAGCAGGCUGACCUGCUGCAGGAGGUACGAGCCAGGGACAGUGAGGAGGAGGAGGAGGAGGAGGACUACUGUGUCCGAGGGGAUUCCCCACCCCUCGCACAUCCUGCCCGGCGACGACAAGUGGGCCCCCCUCCCUGUGGCGUCUGGCCCCCAUCACGCCCUGCUGUCUAAGUUGUCCUGAGUCCUGAACCCAUGGAGCAGGAAAGAGGUGGGUGGGCCGGUUGCCCACCACAGUUGUCUCCUCUUUCAUUCCAAGCUCUGGCCCUUCCUAAGACCCAAGAUGACUGCCUU
rnacentral:lncRNA from 1 species